UAUAUAAAUGGAGUAUGCCUAACGACACAAGAACACACACGCACGCAUUCACCCCAAACCAGUCAACCACAGAAGAACACACGCAUAUCCUGAUCUAAAUCCAUGGCUUUCUCCUCGAGAAGCUUGGCCGUGCUCCUGUGCGUGAUCCUGGUCUUGCUCGCGUUCGCCACGCGGGACGCGUUCGCCGCCAGAGCCCUUCUUCAAGUCUCCACCGGCGCUCCUUUCACUCCCUAUCCUUCCUUUCCUGGACCAAGAACGAACAGACCUUAGGCGCAGGAUUCAGUUACGAUGCUUCGAUCAAGUAUAUUAUAUAUGAGCGGCGCCCAUGGAUAAAUAAGUUUGUCGCCCAUCAUCCACUCGCCGUUCAUAUAUGGCGCACAACUGUAUGCCGUUCUAUAAGUUUCGCUUUUCCGAAUAAACACCAUGGAGAUGUGCGUGAACAGAGUCUAGAAUUUGUAGGGUCGUGUCCAAGUUGUAAGUUUUGAGUUGAGGCGCUGCCUGAACUGUACAAGUCUUUGGGUACCACGACGUCUAACAUUUACUUC